CUCGUCUACAUCCUUGAUGGUAUGUGUAAUAUCGUUAAAGUGGACAAAAAAUGUUAGCAGGAAAGCCCCAGUUAUAUUUUAUAUUUUUUUCUCUUAAAGAGAUCUGUAAAAAAAUUUAAACAAUCUUCUUUUGGUCCUUGUUUCAGCAGAUAAAUAAAUAUGUUUUUAAACUUUCCUUCUGUUGUAAUCAAAGAUUUUGUUGCCAAAAAUAUUUUUUGCCUUUUAUUGUAAGAUGAAAAACGGACGAUAGGUCUCUUGCUUGCUCCUCAGGAAUAUUUUUGGGUUGAUACACCCUAUGUGCUCUUUCAAUGAUGCUGGAGGUCUGAGCUGAAUUCCUAUUGCUGCCGAUAAAUCCAUUAAGUAGGUUACCAAUUGGCUCGAGACAAUUUCUUCUGGAAUCUCUAAGUUCUUCCUUUGUGUGUGG